UACGGCCAGAUUACAUUGAAACACCGGUUCUCGUACGACCACCGAAGUUAAGCAAUGUUGAGUUUGGUCAAUACCUAGAUGGGUGGCUGCUUGGAAAUAGUUGUUGU